CCCGCUGAACUUAAGCAUAUCAAUAAGCGGAGGAAAAGAAACCAACAGGGAUUGCCCCAGUAACGGCGAGUGAAGCGGCAACAGCUCAAAUUUGAAAUCUGGCUUCGGCCCGAGUUGUAAUUUGCAGAGGAUGUAUUUGGCGCGGUGCCUUCCGAGUUCCCUGGAACGGGACGCCAUAGAGGGUGAGAGCCCCGUCUGGUUGGACACCAAGCCUAUGUAAUACUCCUUCGACGAGUCGAGUAGUUUGGGAAUGCUGCUCUAAAUGGGAGGUAAAUCUCUUCUAAAGCUAAAUACCGGCCAGAGACCGAUAGCGCACAAGUAGAGUGAUCGAAAGAUGAAAAGCACCUUGAAAAGGGGGUUAAACAGUACGUGAAAUUGUUGAAAGGGAAGCGUUUAUGACCAGACUUGUGCCGUGUGGCUCAUCCGGGGUUCUCCCCGGUGCACUCCAUACGGUUCAGGCCAACAUCGGUUCUCGUUGGGGGAUAAGAACAGUAGGAACGUGGCCCUCCUCGGAGGGUGUUAUAGCCUAUUGUACGAUACCUUGAUGGGGACCGAGGACCGCGCUUCGGCUAGGAUGUUGGCGUAAUGGUCAUUAGCGACCCGUCUUGAAACACGGACCAAGGAGUCGUCCAUUAGAGCGAGCGUUUGGGUGUAAAACCCGCACGCGUAAUGAAAGUGAAAUUAGGUGAGAGCUUCGGCGCAUCAUCGACCGAUCCUGAAGUUUACGGAUGGAUUUGAGUAAGAGUUUUAACGGACGGACCCGAAAGACAGUGAACUAUGCUUGAAUAGGGUGAAGCCAGAGGAAACUCUGGUGGAGGCUCGCAGCUGGUUCUGACGUGCAAAUCGAUCGUCAAAUUUGAGCAUGGGGGCGAAAGACCUAAUUCGAUAUCUGCCUAUGGUGUGGG
rnacentral:rRNA from 1 species